UACGGGGGGCAGCAGUGGGGAAUAUUGCACAAUGGGCGAAAGCUGAUGCAGCGACGCCGCGUGAGGGAUGACGGCCUUCGGGUUGUAAACCUCUUUCAGCAGGGAAGAAGCGCAAGUGACGGUACCUGCAGAAGAAGCACCGGCUAACUACGUGCCAGCAGCCGCGGUAAU
rnacentral:rRNA from 1 species